CCCUACGGGUGGCAGCAGUGAGGAAUAUUGGUCAAUGGGCGGGAGCCUGAACCAGCCAAGUCGCGUGAGGGUAGACGGUCCUAUGUAGUGUAAACCUCUUUAGGCGGGGAGCAAUGCCGGGCACGCGUGCCCGGAGGGAGAGUACCCGCAGAAUAAGCAUCGGCUAACUCCGUGCCAGCAGCCGCGGUAAUACGGGGGAUGCGAGCGUUAUCCGGAUUUAUUGGGUUAAAAGGAGGCGUAGGCGGAUUUUUAAGUCGGCGGUAAAAUGUCCGGGCUAAACCCGGGCAGGCCGUUGAAACUGGGGAUCUUGAGUGCGCGAGAAGUAUGCGGAAUGCGUGGUGUAGCGGUGAAAUGCAUAGAUAUCACGCAGAACUCCGAUUGCGAAGGCAGCAUACCGGCGCCCGACUGACGCUGAGGCACGAAAGCGUGGGGAUCGAACAGGAUUAGAUACCCCAGUAGUC
rnacentral:rRNA from 1 species